AUACGGAGGGUACGAACGUUAAUCGGAAUUACUGGGCGUAAAGCGCGCGUAGGUGGUUCGGUAAGUGGGAUGUGAAAGCCCCGGGCUCAACCCGGGAACUGCAUUCCAAACUGCCGGGCUAGAGUAUGGUAGAGGGAGGUAGAAUUUCCUGUGUAGCGGUGAAAUGCGUAGAUAUAGGAAGGAAUACCGGUGGCGAAGGCGGCCUCCUGGACCAAUGCUGACACUGAGGUGCGAAAGCGUGGGGAGCAAACAGGAUUAGAAACCCCGGUAGUCC
rnacentral:rRNA from 1 species